rnacentral:rRNA from 1 species
UACGAGGGGGGCGAGCGUUGUUCGGAAUUAUUGGGCGUAAAGGGUGCGUAGGCGGUUUGGUAAGUCUGAUGUGAAAUCUAUGGGCUCAACUCAUAGUCUGCAUCGGAAACUGCCGGGCUUGAGUGUGGGAGAGGUGAGUGGAAUUUCUGGUGUAGCGGUGAAAUGCGUAGAUAUCAGGAGGAACACCUGUGGCGAAAGCGGCUCACUGGACCAUAACUGACGCUGAUGCACGAAAGCUAGGGGAGCAAACAGG